AUUGAACGCUGGCGGCAUGCCUUACACAUGCAAGUCGAACGGCAGCGGGGACUUCGGUCCGCCGGCGAGUGGCGAACGGGUGAGUAAUGUAUCGGAACGUACCAUUGAGUGGGGGAUAACGUAGCGAAAGUUACGCUAAUACCGCAUAUUCUCUCCGGAGGAAAGCAGGGGACCGCAAGGCCUUGCGCUCUUUGAGCGGCCGAUAUCAGAUUAGCUAGUUGGUGGGGUAAAAGCUCACCAAGGCGACGAUCUGUAGCGGGUCUGAGAGGAUGAUCGGCCACAAGGGAACUGAGACACGGUCCAGACUCCUACGGGAGGCAGCAGUGGGGAAUUUUGGACAAUGAGGGCAACCCUGAUCCAGCCAUGCCGCGUGAGUGAAGAAGGCCUUCGGGUUGUAAAGCUCUUUCGGCCGGGAAAAAAGCGCAUGGGUUAAUACCCUGUGUGGAUGAUGGUACCGGAAUAAGAAGCACCGGCUAACUACGUGCCAGCCGCCGCGGUAA
rnacentral:rRNA from 1 species